CCUACGGGAGGCAGCAGUGAGGAAUAUUGGUCAAUGGGCGAGAGCCUGAACCAGCCAAGUCGCGUGAGGGAAGACGGUCCUACGGAUUGUAAACCUCUUUUGCCGGGGAGCAAAAGGAUCCUUGCGCCGGCCCUGAGAGUGUCCCCAGAAAAAACACCUCGUCUAACUCCGUGCCAGCAGCCGCGGUAAUCCGGAGGAUGCGGGCGUUAUCCGGAUUUAUUGGGGUUAAGGGGUGCGUAGGCGGGCUGUUAAGUCAGCGGGAAAAUUUUGGGGCUCAACCACCGCCUGCCGUUGAAACUGGCGGUCUAGAGGGGGCGAGAAGUAUGCGGAAUGCGUGGUGUAGCGGUGAAAUGCAUAGAUAUCACGCAGAACCCCGAUUGCGAAGGCAGCAUACCGGCGCACGACUGACGCUGAGGCACGAAAGCGUGGGUAUCGAACAGGAUUAGAUACCCGAGUAGUC
rnacentral:rRNA from 1 species